AGUGAACGCUGGCGGUAGGCCUAACACAUGCAAGUCGAACGGCAGCACAGUAAGAGCUUGCUCUUACGGGUGGCGAGUGGCGGACGGGUGAGGAAUACAUCGGAAUCUACUUUUUCGUGGGGGAUAACGUAGGGAAACUUACGCUAAUACCGCAUACGACCUACGGGUGAAAGCAGGGGAUCUUCGGACCUUGCGCGAUUGAAUGAGCCGAUGUCGGAUUAGCUAGUUGGCGGGGUAAAGGCCCACCAAGGCGACGAUCCGUAGCUGGUCUGAGAGGAGGAUCAGCCACACUGGAACUGAGACGCGGUCCAGACUCCUACGGGAGGCAGCAGUGGGGAAUAUUGGACAAUGGGCGCAAGCCUGAUCCAGCCAUACCGCGUGGGUGAAGAAGGCCUUCGGGUUGUAAAGCCCUUUUGUUGGGAAAGAAAAGCAGCAGGUUGAUACCCCGCUGUUCUGACGGUACCCAAAGAAUAAGCACCGGCUAACUUCGUG
rnacentral:rRNA from 1 species